rnacentral:rRNA from 1 species
UGGGGAAUAUUGGACAAUGGGCGAAAGCCUGAUCCAGCCAUGCCGCGUGUGUGAAGAAGGUCUUCGGAUUGUAAAGCACUUUAAGUUGGGAGGAAGGGCAUUAACCUAAUACGUUAGUGUUUUGACGUUACCGACAGAAUAAGCACCGGCUAACUCUGUGCCAGCAGCCGCGGUAGUACAGAGGGUGCAAGCGUUAAUCGGAAUUACUGGGCGUAAAGCGCGCGUAGGUGGUUUGUUAAGUUGGAUGUGAAAUCCCCGGGCGCAACCUGGGAACUGCAUUCAAAACUGACUGACUAGAGGAUGGUAGAAGGUGGUGGAAUUUCCUGUGUAGCGGUGAAAUGCGUAGAUAUAGGAAGGAACACCAGUGGCGAAGGCGACCACCUGGACUAAUACUGACACUGAGGUGCGAAAGCGUGGGGAGCAAACA